GAGAAACCCUGGAAUUCACAAUGGGCAAUCCUGAGAAAAUCCGUCGACUUAAGAAAUCAUGAGGGUU
rnacentral:tRNA from 1 species